AAAAACUAUAAUUUUACACUGUUUAUGUCUAACGUUUGAACGUUUAUUUUAUUUGAAAAUUUUUUAUGGUUAGCAUUUUUAUUGUUAUUAGGUAAUAAAACAUAAAUAAUAUUUUAUGUGUAACUAUUUUUGUAAAAAAUAUAUUUUUUAAAUAAGAUGGACAAUCAAAUAUUGGAUAUGGAAACUUAUAUCAGUAUUUAAA
rnacentral:pre_miRNA from 1 species